rnacentral:rRNA from 1 species
GAUGAACGCUGGCGGCGUGCCUAAUACAUGCAAGUCGAGCGAACAGACGAGGAGCUUGCUCCUCUGACGUUAGCGGCGGACGGGUGAGUAACACGUGGAUAACCUACCUAUAAGACUGGGAUAACUUCGGGAAACCGGAGCUAAUACCGGAUAAUAUAUUGAACCGCAUGGUUCAAUAGUGAAAGACGGUUUUGCUGUCACUUAUAGAUGGAUCCGCGCCGCAUUAGCUAGUUGGUAAGGUAACGGCUUACCAAGGCAACGAUGCGUAGCCGACCUGAGAGGGUGAUCGGCCACACUGGAACUGGGACACGGUCCAGACUACUACGAGAGGCAGCAGUAGGGAAUCGUCCGCAAUGGGCGAAAGCCUGACGGAGCAACGCCGCGUGAGUGAUGAAGGUCUUCGGAUCGUAAAACUCUGUUAUUAGGGAAGAACAAAUGUGUAAGUAACUAUGCACGUCUUGACGGUACCUAAUCAGAAAGCCACGGCUAACUACGUG